ACACUGUGCGACUUUCCACUCCCCCGUACACGCGAUUCCGUCGCCACCUCUCGGACCAGCAGCCCACGUCCAACGCUGGGCCGACCCCAGAUACUCAGGCAGUCGGUAUUCCCGCCCGGUUCGCUUGUCUAUUCAUCCCUCUGCAUCAGGCUGGGACGCGCUCCGUCUUUAAGAGGCUCAAACGCAUCUCCUGCCGCGGGGCGGGAUCUGGGCGCCUGGGCCCCGGGGUCCAGAGGCCGGUAACUUUGCUAAUCUCCCCUAGUGGCGGGGAACGUCACGCAACCGCUGAGCCCUGUCCGCGGAGACUAAACAAGGAGAGGAACAGGCUGUAAACACACAUCCUGACACGCAGGGAUGUUGCUCUUGGAGAAUGUGAAGACAGUUUGCUUCUUGACAAGCGAGCGAGCGGGCGCCCAGAUUUUUGCAGCCUUUCCGAGUCUCCCCCGAGGGAGAGGCGGCAGAGAAAACGCCGGAUUUGGGAGCCACCAGGGAAGGAUCCGCGCAGGGGAGCCGCCCUCCUUGGCCCCAGACCCGCCUGCCUGGGGCCCCCUUUGCUCACUGCCAGUGUAUGGUCUGAAGCUCUGAGGAUGGUGCUAGGGACUGGGGUCGGGGGAAGCCUCUUGAAUAAUAACUGCAAAGAAGAAAGAGGCGAGAAUGUCCCCCUAACCUUGAAGCAGAAAGGACUGUGUUCUUAAAGCUGUUGGCUGCAGUCACAGGGCCAGUUGCCCGCCUCUAUUCCCAGAGUAAAGUGUAGCAUCUUCUGUC